CGUACGAAAAACACGCUAUUAUAAUUAACUUUUCAUUAGCGAAUACAGUAAUUGAAGGCACCUGGGUCACAGCUUUUAAGUAAAUUUGUUGCAAACAAUACAGAAUCCACAAUGUCUGAAGCAAAUGAAAAUGGCUCUCCUACCGUGGAAACGGAACUGGAGGCUCUUUCUGAGAUGAUAUUCAUUGCUGAUGAGAAAAUAAGCUUGUGCACAAAAAUCCUGGAGGACCUAAAAGAUCUGAAACAUGUUCUCGCGACAAAAUCUCUCCAGGAUGACUCCCUCCCGCUGCAAAAUUGAUUUUAUUAAUGCUGUUUAAUAAUAAAACACUGACACUUUGGAUGAGACAAUAAUGUUUUAUUUGUAUAUUGCUCUUAUUUGAGAACGUUAUCGUAUUACUUUGUACGAAACGAGCAUAUGCAAACAUUUAAACAUUGUACAUUCUCUUUAAAAAAUACAAAUCCUCGCUCUGUGGUUGACGGGACAUCCCUUUGGAAGCACACUUUUUUUUUUCUUUCAGAUGGACUUGUCAGAUGUUUAGUUAUUUGCAAUAAACCUGCUUCCAAACGGAGUCAAAUUGUAAAACUGAGGCAGAAUUUUUACCCAUA